rnacentral:tRNA from 1 species
GAAGGCGCACGCCUGGAAAGCGUGUAUACGUUCAAAGCGUAUCGGGGGUUCGAAUCCCCCUCUGUCCGCCA